AUUGAACGCUGGCGGCAUGCCUUACACAUGCAAGUCGAACGGCAGCGCGGGUGCUUGCACCUGGUGGCGAGUGGCGAACGGGUGAGUAAUACAUCGGAACAUGUCCUGUAGUGGGGGAUAGCCCGGCGAAAGCCGGAUUAAUACCGCAUACGAUCUACGGAUGAAAGCGGGGGACCUUCGGGCCUCGCGCUAUAGGGUUGGCCGAUGGCUGAUUAGCUAGUUGGUGGGGUAAAGGCCUACCAAGGCGACGAUCAGUAGCUGGUCUGAGAGGACGACCAGCCACACUGGGACUGAGACACGGCCCAGACUCCUACGGGAGGCAGCAGUGGGGAAUUUUGGACAAUGGGCGAAAGCCUGAUCCAGCAAUGCCGCGUGUGUGAAGAAGGCCUUCGGGUUGUAAAGCACUUUUGUCCGGAAAAAAAUCCUUGGCCCUAAUACGGUCGGGGGAUGACGGUACCGGAAGAAUAAGCACCGGCUAACUACGUG
rnacentral:rRNA from 1 species